rnacentral:rRNA from 1 species
CCUACGGGUGGCAGCAGUGGGGAAUAUUGCACAAUGGGCGCAAGCCUGAUGCAGCCAUGCCGCGUGUGUGAAGAAGCCCUUCGGGUUGUAAAGCACUUUCAGCGGGGAGGAAGGCGUUAAGGUUAAUAACCUUGGCGAUUGACGUUACCCGCAGAAGAAGCACCGGCUAACUCCGUGCCAGCAGCCGCGGUAAUACGGAGGGUGCAAGCGUUAAUCGGAAUUACUGGGCGUAAAGCGCACGCAGGCGGUCUGUCAAGUCGGAUGUGAAAUCCCCGGGCUCAACCUGGGAACUGCAUUCGAAACUGGCAGGCUAGAGUCUUGUAGAGGGGGGUAGAAUUCCAGGUGUAGCGGUGAAAUGCGUAGAGAUCUGGAGGAAUACCGGUGGCGAAGGCGGCCCCCUGGACAAAGACUGACGCUCAGGUGCGAAAGCGUGGGGAGCAAACAGGAUUAGAUACCCCAGUAGUC